rnacentral:rRNA from 1 species
GGCGUGCCUAAUACAUGCAAGUCGAGCGGAGAUUUGGGAGCUUGCUCCCAAAUCUUAGCGGCGGACGGGUGAGUAACACGUGGGCAACCUGCCCUGCAGACUGGGAUAACUCCGGGAAACCGGAGCUAAUACCGGGUAAUACAUCGCACCGCAUGGUGCAAUGUUGAAAGUUGGCUUUCGAGCUAACACUGCAGGAUGGGCCCGCGGCGCAUUAGCUAGUUGGUAAGGUAAUGGCUUACCAAGGCGACGAUGCGUAGCCGACCUGAGAGGGUGAUCGGCCACACUGGGACUGAGACACGGCCCAGACUCCUACGGGAGGCAGCAGUAGGGAAUCUUCCGCAAUGGACGAAAGUCUGACGGAGCAACGCCGCGUGAGUGACGAAGGCCUUCGGGUCGUAAAGCUCUGUUGUUAGGGAAGAACAAGUACCGUUCGAAUAGGGCGGUACCUUGACGGUACCUAACCAGAAAGCCACGGCUAACUACGUGCCAGCAGCCGCGGUAAUACGUAGGUGGCAAGCGUUGUCCGGAAUUAUUGGGCGUAAAGCGCGCGCAGGCGGUCUUUUAAGUCUGAUGUGAAAGCCCACGGCUCAACCGUGGAGGGUCAUUGGAAACUGGAGGACUUGAGUGCAGAAGAGGAGAGUGGAAUUCCACGUGUAGCGGUGAAAUGCGUAGAUAUGUGGAGGAACACCAGUGGCGAAGGCGGCUCUCUGGUCUGUAACUGACGCUGAGGCGCGAAAGCGUGGGGAGCAAACAGGAUUAGAUACCCUGGUAGUCCACGCCGUAAACGAUGAGUGCUAGGUGUUGGGGGGUUCCACCCUCAGUGCUGAAGUUAACACAUUAAGCACUCCGCCUGGGGAGUACGACCGCAAGGUUGAAACUCAAAGGAAUUGACGGGGGCCCGCACAAGCAGUGGAGCAUGUGGUUUAAUUCGAAGCAACGCGAAGAACCUUACCAGGUCUUGACAUCCUCUGACAAUCCUGGAGACAGGACGUUCCCCUUCGGGGGACAGAGUGACAGGUGGUGCAUGGUUGUCGUCAGCUCGUGUCGUGAGAUGUUGGGUUAAGUCCCGCAACGAGCGCAACCCUUGAUCUUAGUUGCCAGCAUUCAGUUGGGCACUCUAAGGUGACUGCCGGUGACAAACCGGAGGAAGGUGGGGAUGACGUCAAAUCAUCAUGCCCCUUAUGACCUGGGCUACACACGUGCUACAAUGGACGGUACAAAGGG